GAUGAACGCUGGCGGCGUGCUUAACACAUGCAAGUCGAACGGUGAAGGCGGAGCUUGCUCUGCUGGAUCAGUGGCGAACGGGUGAGUAACACGUGAGCAAUCUGCCCCUGACUCUGGGAUAAGCGCUGGAAACGGCGUCUAAUACUGGAUACGAGCUGCGAAGGCAUCUUCAGCAGCUGGAAAGAACUUCGGUCAGGGAUGAGCUCGCGGCCUAUCAGCUUGUUGGUGAGGUAACGGCUCACCAAGGCGUCGACGGGUAGCCGGCCUGGGAGGGUGACCGGCCACACUGGGACUGAGACACGGCCCAGACUCCUACGGGAGGCAGCAGUGGGGAAUAUUGCACAAUGGGCGAAAGCCUGAUGCAGCAACGCCGCGUGAGGGACGACGGCCUUCGGGUUGUAAACCUCUUUUAGCAGGGAAGAAGCGAAAGUGACGGUACCUGCAGAAAAAGCGCCGGCUAACUACGUG
rnacentral:rRNA from 1 species